GGCGGAAUGGCCGAGUGGUCUAAGGCGGAGGAUUUAAGUAACCUAUUUUCCUACCUUAAAUCUCCUCUUCUCGUGAGAGAGCGUGGGUUCGAACCCCACUUCCGUCA
rnacentral:tRNA from 1 species